UACGGAGGAUGCAAGCGUUUAUCCGGAAUGAUUGGGCGUAAAGCGUCCGCAGGUGGCUGUGUAAGUCUGCUGUCAAAGAGCAAAGCUCAACUUUGUAAAGGCAGUGGAAACUACACGGCUAGAGUGCGUUCGGGGCAGAGGGAAUUCCUGGUGUAGCGGUGAAAUGCGUCAGAGUAUCAGGAGAACACCGUGGCGAAGGCGC
rnacentral:rRNA from 1 species